rnacentral:rRNA from 1 species
CUUUGUGGUUCACUGAUUUGAAGAGCUUGCUCAGAUAUGACGAUGGACAUUGCAAAGAGUGGCGAACGGGUGAGUAACACGUGGGAAACCUACCUCUUAGCAGGGGAUAACAUUUGGAAACAGAUGCUAAUACCGUAUAACAAUGACAACCGCAUGGUUGUUAUUUAAAAGAUGGUUCUGCUAUCACUAAGAGAUGGUCCCGCGGUGCAUUAGCUAGUUGGUAAGGUAAUGGCUUACCAAGGCGAUGAUGCAUAGCCGAGUUGAGAGACUGAUCGGCCACAAUGGGACUGAGACACGGCCCAUACUCCUACGGGAGGCAGCAGUAGGGAAUCUUCCACAAUGGGCGAAAGCCUGAUGGAGCAACGCCGCGUGUGUGAUGAAGGGUUUCGGCUCGUAAAACACUGUUGUAAGAGAAGAAUGACAUUGAGAGUAACUGUUCAAUGUGUGACGGUAUCUUACCAGAAAGGAACGGCUAAAUACGUGCCAGCAGCCGCGGUAAUACGUAUGUUCCAAGCGUUAUCCGGAUUUAUUGGGCGUAAAGCGAGCGCAGACGGUUAUUUAAGUCUGAAGUGAAAGCCCUCAGCUCAACUGAGGAAUUGCUUUGGAAACUGGAUGACUUGAGUGCAGUAGAGGAAAGUGGAACUCCAUGUGUAGCGGUGAAAUGCGUAGAUAUAUGGAAGAACACCAGUGGCGAAGGCGGCUUUCUGGACUGUAACUGACGUUGAGGCUCGAAAGUGUGGGUAGCAAACAGGAUUAGAUACCCUGGUAGUCCACACCGUAAACGAUGAGUGCUAGGUGUUUGAGGGUUUCCGCCCUUAAGUGCCGCAGCUAACGCAUUAAGCACUCCGCCUGGGGAGUACGACCGCAAGGUUGAAACUCAAAGGAAUUGACGGGGACCCGCACAAGCGGUGGAGCAUGUGGUUUAAUUCGAAGCAACGCGAAGAACCUUACCAGGUCUUGACAUCCCUUGACAACUCCAGAGAUGGAGCGUUCCCUUCGGGGACAAGGUGACAGGUGGUGCAUGGUUGUCGUCAGCUCGUGUCGUGAGAUGUUGGGUUAAGUCCCGCAACGAGCGCAACCCUUAUUACUAGUUGCCAGCAUUUAGUUGGGCACUCUAGUGAGACUGCCGGUGACAAACCGGAGGAAGGUGGGGAUGACGUCAAAUCAUCAUGCCCCUUAUGACCUGGGCUACACACGUGCUACAAUGGCGUAUACAACGAGUUGCCAACCCGCGAGGGUGAGCUUAUCUCUUAAAGUACGUCUCAGUUCGGAUUGUAGGCUGCAACUCGCCUACAUGAAGUCGGAAUC